UACGGAGAGGACAAGUGUUAUUCGUCGUGACUGGGUGUAAAGGGUGUGUAGAUGGUAAUUUAAGUUUUAAAUAAAAAUUAAAUAAAAAUUUAAAAUAUUUUUAAUACUAUUUUACUAGAGUAAUAUGGAAAAUAAUUGUAUUUUAAGUGUAACAGUGAAAAUUUUAAAUAUUUAAAAGACAAACAAUAGGCGAAAGCGAUUAUUUAUAUAUUAACUGACAUUGAGGCACAAAAGCAUAGGUAGCGAACGGG
rnacentral:rRNA from 1 species